ensembl:lncRNA
GAAAUUAUUCUACUUGCUACUUUCUCCCUUCCUGCUUUCUUCAUUUAGUUUUUGUGGAAUGAGAUGAGCAGAGGGGAGAUGCAGAGGAAGGAGAAAAAACACUGUUGCCUCAGCUAAGAUUCCAUUACUUCUAUCAGCUGGGACAACUGUAGCCCCAGUUUGAGCCGUUAAAUUCUUGUGCUGUGGAAAACCAAGAGAUGAGAAGAACUGAAAAAAAUAAGAGACAGGGUUCCUGUGGAUCUGUGCCACUUCCUUGGAGGAGGCUCCAGUCAUCCUGGUACACACUCUAGAGGUGGCCACUCCAAGCAUCUCCUUGGUGUCCCACAGCUCAGAACUGUUUUUUGAUCUCUGCUUGUCCACUGCAGUGACAACGAGCCAGAAGAUUACAUUCACGUCAUAUCCUUCAGGGAAACACAAACUGCCCAAAAUCUGGUAAACCUAGCAGUGAUACUGGUUUUCCUCAUAGAGAAGCCUAGUGUUCAGAAAACUUCCUUGUAAAUUCCUAAUUCUUCUAUCAGUUUUAGCAAGCUGGGAAGGACAGAAUAUCUAAGAUUUGUGUGGUACAUCCCUGGUCCAAGCAGUGAUUUAAAUUCUGCCCAAACCAAACACUCUUGAGGACCUCUUACUGAGAAUUGAUGUGGGUGUCACACUGUGGUAUGGACUCUGGGCAUAGGUAAUUUGCAUCCUUCCUCUGACCCAAACUUGGAAGUGUGGCCUCCUCUUCCUUGGAGUCCAUCAGCCUAUUCAAUAUACUUUCAG